rnacentral:rRNA from 1 species
CAGCCGCCGCGGUAAUACGAAGGGGGCUAGCGUUGUUCGGAUUUACUGGGCGUAAAGCGCACGUAGACGGAUUGUUAAGUCAGAGGUGAAAUCCUGGAGCUCAACUCCAGAACUGCCUUUGAUACUGGCAAUCUAGAGUCCGGAAGAGGUAAGUGGAACUCCUAGUGUAGAGGUGGAAUUCGUAGAUAUUAGGAAGAACACCAGUGGCGAAGGCGGCUUACUGGUCCGGUACUGACGCUGAGGUGCGAAAGCGUGGGGAGCAAACAGGAUUAGAUACCCCCGUAGUCCCUGUCUCUUAUAA